rnacentral:lncRNA from 1 species
AAAAAAAUAAAAAAAAUAAAAAAAAUAAAAAAAAUAAAAAAAAAAUAAAACUGUCAUAUAAUUCUUUUAUGAACUGCCACGCAAGUUUACUUGUUCACCUGCUUUAAUCGGUUUAUUAUUAUUAUUUUUUAUUUUUUAUUAUUUAUUUAUUUAUUUAUUUAAUUUUUUUUUGUUACAUUCAUUUUUAACCUUUUUUCAGUUAUACCAUAAAACUGAAAUAAUGAAGCAUGUACAUACAUAUAUACAUAAAAACAAAUUAAGACAAUUUUCUAAACAUGUUAGAUGUUUUCUGAAUUUAAAUAUUUUUUUUCGAAUCUAAAAAUGAUAGAAAUAUUUUUUGGAAAUAUAUAAGUUAUAACUAUUUUUAAUACAAAUAUAAUAAUUUAAUGAACUAAAAAAAAAUAAGGAAAAAUAAGCAAAAAUAAGGAAAAGGUAUCGUUUUAUAAAAUAUAAAUGGCUAAUAGGGACAAAUGAACUACACCUACUUAGGCGUAUACAGUGUACAAACAGGAACAUAUACAUACAUAUCCGUGUGUGUGUGUGUGUGUAGUUUUUAAUAUAUGUUGGUGUAGGUGUGAGGAAGUAUUACAAUAGUAUGUUCCCUAUUAAAGAAUUAUAAAUGCAUUAAAAAAAAAGAAAAAAAAAAAAAAAAAAAGUUAUGUAAAUAUAUACAGGCAUGAUCGUAUAUAUAUAUAUAUAUAUAUAAAAGCAUAUUUUACUUGACUAGCUACAAUUUGUCUAUUAAUAAUAAUUGGCCUCGAUUUGUAAAAACAUAAAUGUUGAAACAAAAAAAAAAUAAAUAAAAAAAUUAAUUAAAAAAAAGUGGUAAUGUGGUUUUUAUAAUUAUAUUUUUGUAGUACAUGUCUUAUGAAAAUAAAGCAAAUGUUGUUAAAGUGUUUACAACCAAAAAAAUAAAUAAACGAAAUAACCAAAGUAAACAAAAUAAAAGAGUAUAUAAAUAUAUAUAUACAUAUAUACACAUAUAUAUAUAUAUAUAUAUAUAUAUAUAUAUAUAAAAUAAAAAAAACAGUGUUAAACCA